rnacentral:tRNA from 1 species
CGGGGCGUGGCGCAGUCCGGUAGCGCACUUGCAUGGGGUGCAAGGGGUCGGAGGUUCGAAUCCUCUCGCCCCGACCA